CUGCAUUUGGCUGCAGCUUUGAGCAAAUUGACUGUAAUUCAGAGUGAAGGUGUGGGAGGGUGAAUAUAUUAUUACUCUGUUUUUCUAGCUGGUGUGUUCUGGCUGGUGUGAUCUUGUCUAGCAGGUGAGUUUUUCUGUGUCUUCUAGCACGCUUCAGCUUACAGUUG